AAGUCGUAACAAGGUUUCCGUAGGUGAACCUGCGGAAGGAUCAUUACCGAGCGUGUCUUUCGGCUUUUCGAAAGACUCCUCCCACCCUUGUGUAUCAUGAUGCUGAUAAGCAGCUUCGGCGGGCCGUUUGGCGGGAUCUAUCGAUUCUAUUGGGAUUGAUGGAGACCAAAGAACAUCGGCCUCUGAGCGGAUCUGUGUCCGCCGAAGGAACACCCAACUCCUGAUGAUUUUGAAGUCUGAAAAAAAAAAACUUGAUAAUAAAUCAAAACUUUCAACAACGGAUCUCUUGGUUCUG
rnacentral:misc_RNA from 1 species